AUUGAACGCUGGCGGCAGGCCUAACACAUGCAAGUCGAGCGGAUGACGGGAGCUUGCUCCUUGAUUCAGCGGCGGACGGGUGAGUAAUGCCUAGGAAUCUGCCUGGUAGUGGGGGACAACGUUUCGAAAGGAACGCUAAUACCGCAUACGUCCUACGGGAGAAAGCAGGGGACCUUCGGGCCUUGCGCUAUCAGAUGAGCCUAGGUCGGAUUAGCUAGUUGGUGGGGUAAUGGCUCACCAAGGCGACGAUCCGUAACUGGUCUGAGAGGAUGAUCAGUCACACUGGAACUGAGACACGGUCCAGACUCCUACGGGAGGCAGCAGUGGGGAAUAUUGGACAAUGGGCGAAAGCCUGAUCCAGCCAUGCCGCGUGUGUGAAGAAGGUCUUCGGAUUGUAAAGCACUUUAAGUUGGGAGGAAGGGCAGUAAGCUAAUACCUUGCUGUUUUGACGUUACCGACAGAAUAAGCACCGGCUAACUCUGUGCCAGCCGCCGCGGUAAGAC
rnacentral:rRNA from 1 species